rnacentral:rRNA from 1 species
AUGGCAUCUAUUCCGAAGCUUGUGAUUCUCCUGCUGUGCACCUGUCUUCACACUCUCGUUGCUCACGAAGGAUACGAUCUUCGCGCCUACAAGGUUCUGCACGCUGGCUCUUUGAAAUCUGCCGCCGUCAACUGCUCCCAGCCCAAAGUGACUCCAUCAUCCGGCGGCGUCACCGUGCCGUUGCACCACCGGCACGGCCCGUGCUCGCCCUCGCCUGUGCCCUCCACCAAGGCGCCGACCUUGGAGGAGAUGCUCCGGCGUGACCAGCUCCGGGCCGCCUACAUCAGACGGAAGUACUCCGGCGUCAAGGGAGGCGCAGGUGACGUGGAGCAAUCGGACGUUACCGUGCCGACCACACUGGGCACCUCCCUGGACACGCUGGAGUACUUGAUCACCGUCGGCAUCGGCUCGCCGGCCAUGACCCAGACCAUGCUCAUCGACACCGGCAGCGACGUGUCCUGGGUGCAGUGCAAGCCGUGCUCGCAGUGCCACACCCAGGCGGACUCGCUCUUCGACCCCAGCUCGUCGAGCACCUACUCACCCUUCUCCUGCAGCUCCGCCGCCUGCGCGCAGCUCAGCCAGAGCCAUGAGGGGAACGGCUGCUCCGGCUCCCAGUGCCAGUACAUGGUCAAAUACGGCGACGGUUCGAGCGGGACCGGGACGUACAGCUCCGACAAGCUCGCGCUGGGCUCCAGCUCCGUCAGCAACUUCCAGUUCGGAUGCAGCCAGUCUGAGUCGGGCAACCUUCUCGAAGACCAGACCGAUGGGCUCAUGGGGCUCGGCGGCGGCGCUCAGUCGCUCGCCACCCAGACCGCGGGGACCUUCGGCAAGGCCUUCUCGUACUGCCUCCCACCGACUCCGGACUCCUCUGGGUUCCUCACCCUCGGCGCAGCAACCUCAGGUUUCUCCAAGACACAGAUGUUGAGGAGCAGUCAGGUCCCGUCGUACUACGGCGUGCUCCUUGAGGCCAUCAGGGUGGGAGGCAGGCAGCUCAACAUACCCGCCUCGGUCUUCUCCGGCAGGUCGAUCAUGGACUCCGGCACAAUCAUAACGCGGCUGCCGGCGACCGCGUACUCUGCGCUAUCGUCGGCGUUCAAGGCCGGCAUGAAGCAGUACCCGCCGGCGCAGCCUAUGGGCAUCUUCGACACGUGCUUCGACUUCAGCGGCCAGUCCACCAUCAACAUACCGAGCGUCGCACUGGUGUUCUCCGGGGAAGUCGUCGUCGACCUCGCCACCGACGGGAUCAUUCUGGACAGCUGCCUCGCCUUUGCGGCCAACAGCGAUGACAGCUCCCUUGGCAUCAUCGGCAACGUGCAGCAGCGGACGAUCGAGGUGCUGUACGAUGUUGGCGGCGGCGCCGUGGGGUUCAAGGCUGGCGCAUGCUGA